AUCGGGCCUGCCCGCCCCACACUGCCCGUAGCCACGGCCUACCUCCCCGCCCGCCGCUCGCACGCCGCUCCGCCCACCCGGCCCAGGCCCGCCCCUUCCCGCGCCCUAGUUCAGCCUGCGCCCGCCCACAGGUCUCCGAGGAUCCCGGCUGCCCAGGGUGCGAGGCAAAGCCUCCGGAAUUUUCUGAAUUGCUCAAAUGUCUGACCUCAGAUUUCCCAGGAUCCUCCUCCUUCGAAGGCCUCUAACAGGAAGUCGGGAAAACAGCACUGGAGGGCUGAGAGAACAAUGACCUAACCCUGCGGAAGGGAAAAGACCGGACCCCAAGAUGACUCAGCAACAGGACCGGUAUAGGCACUUGCUGUCUGUCCUCACGACCUGAGUUCUGUCCCGGGAUCCCACAGGUUAGGAGUGAACUGAUUCUAGCAGUUUGUCCUAUGACUUCCACACUUGCCCCAAGGCCCACAUGUGAACGUAUGUAAACAUAAAAUAAAUACAUGUCAGAACAGA